CUUGUGACUGCUAAAGUGAUUGCACAAAGAUAUGAACACUUCAUACUAGCUAACCCAAUGUGGAAGAUUGACAGCAUGAAAGCAACAGUUCUCCAAGAUAUGUUUGCCGAUGUGUCAACUUCUAAGUGUAAGCAUGCAAAAAAGCUUGUCAUGGACAGAUUGAUGUGUGGUAUGAAGAACGAAUACACUCGAGUGUUUGAUUACCAGUUGGAACUAUUGAGGAGCAAUCCUGGAAGCACUAUUGCAGUAUGUUUGGACCCAACAAACAUGGAUCAAAACAUAUUUCAGAGUUUUUAUGUUUGCUUUAAUGCAAUGAAACUUGGUUUCCAAGCUGGUUGCAGGAAAGUAAUAGGGCUCGAUGGUUGUUUCUUCAAAGGAGCAGUGAAGGGGGAGCUUUUGUGUGCAAUAGCAAGAGAUGCCAACAACCAGAUGUAUCCAGUGGCUUGGGUUGUAGUUGAGAAGGAAACAAAAGAAAGUUGGAAGUGGUUUGUUGGGCUGCUUAUCAAAGAUCUGGAUAUCAACAACAAUGGAGCCGGCUGGGUUGUUAUUUCAGAUCAGCAAAAGGGAUUAAUAAAUGCAAUGCAAGACUAUCUUCCAAAUGCAGAACACAGGAUGUGUGCUAGGCACAUAUAU
rnacentral:rRNA from 1 species